rnacentral:ncRNA from 1 species
GUCGCAGAUGGGGAUGGAGUCCCCCGACAACCGCCCGGCGAUCGAUGACCUCAUGGGCUGAUGACUCCUGCUCGAGG